GAGCUUCUGUAACCAGAACCAGCUUCUUCUAAUGCAGCAGGUUUCAGUUCUCUGUCUACAAUAUUGAUCUUUC